GGCAUGAUGGUGCAGUGGUUAGCACAUCUGCUUUGUAAGCAGGAGACCUGGGUUCAAGCUCCAGCCUUGGCA